rnacentral:rRNA from 1 species
GACAGAGGGUGCAAACGUUGUUCGGAAUUACUGGGCGUAAAGCGCGUGUAGGCGGCUAAGUAAGUCGGGCGUGAAAUCCCACGGCUCAACCGUGGAAGUGCACUCGAAACUGCGUAGCUAGAGUCCUGGAGAGGAAGGUGGAAUGCUUGGUGUAGAGGUGAAAUUCGUAGAUAUCAAGCGGAACACCGGUGGCGAAGGCGGCCUUCUGGACAGUGACUGACGCUGAGGCACGAAGGUCAGGGGAGCAAACGGG